GACGAACGCUGGCGGCGUGCCUAACACAUGCAAGUCGAACGAGGUCCAAGGGAGCUUGCUCCCUGAAGACCUAGUGGCGAACGGGUGAGUAACACGUGAGAAACCUGCCCUCGAGUGGGGAAUAACCCGGGGAAACCCGGGCUAAUACCGCAUACGCUCCUCUGGUCGCAUGGCCGGAGGAGGAAAGUUUUUCGCUCAAGGAGGGUCUCGCGGCCUAUCAGCUUGUUGGCGGGGUAACGGCCCACCAAGGCUACGACGGGUAGCUGGUUUGAGAGAACGAUCAGCCACACUGGGACUGAGACACGGCCCAGACUCCUACGGGUGGCAGCAGUGGGGAAUCUUGCGCAAUGGGCGAAAGCCUGACGCAGCAACGCCGCGUGCGGGAUGACGGCCUUCGUGGUUGUAAACCGCUUUCAGCAGGGACGAAAAUGACGGUACCUGCAGAAGGAGCUCCGGCUAACUACGUGCCAGCCGCCGCCGUAA
rnacentral:rRNA from 1 species